rnacentral:rRNA from 1 species
GAUAAACGCUGGCGGCGUGCUUAACACAUGCAAGUCGAACGAAGUUUUUCCUUCGUGAGAAACUUAGUGGCGGACGGGUGAGUAACGCGUGGGUAACCUGCCCUGUACAGGGGGACAACAGCUGGAAACGGCUGCUAAUACUGCAUAAGCCCUUAGCACUGCAUGGUGCAUAGGGAAAAGGAGCAAUCCGGUACAGGAUGGACCUGCGUCUGAUCAGCCAGUUGGCAGGGUAACGGCAUACCAAAGCGACGAUCAGUAGCCGAUCUGAGAGGAUGUACGGCCACAUUGAGACUGAGACACAGCCCAGACUCCUACGGGAGGCAGCAGUGGGGAAUAUUGCACAAUGGAGGAAGCUCUGAUGCAGCGACGCCGCGUGAGUGAAGAAGUAUUUCGGUAUGUAAAGCUCUAUCAGCAGGGAAGAAAAUGACGGUACCUGACUAAGAAGCACCGGCUAAAUACGUG